rnacentral:rRNA from 1 species
GAUGAACGCCGGCGGCGUGCCUAACACAUGCAAGUCGAACGGUUAAGGCGGCUUCGGCCGCGGAUAAAGUGGCGAACGGGUGAGUAACGCGUGACCGACCUUCCCCCCGCACCGGGACAACCGCGGGAAACCGCGGCUGAUACCGGGUACUCCGGGGCCCCCGCAUGGGGGCCCCGGGAAAGCUCCGGCGGCGGGGGAUGGGGUCGCGUCCCAUCAGGUAGUAGGCGGGGCAACGGCCCACCUAGCCGACGACGGGUAGCCGGGUUGAGAGACCGACCGGCCACAUUGGGACUGAGAUACGGCCCAGACUCCUACGGGAGGCAGCAGUGGGGAAUUUUGCGCAAUGGGGGCAACCCUGACGCAGCAACGCCGCGUGCGGGACGACGGCCUUCGGGUUGUAAACCGCUUUCAGCAGGGAAGAACCUCUGACGGUA